GCUUAACACAUGCAAGUGGAGCGACGAAUCGGGGCUUGCCCCGGGGCAGAGCCGCGAACGGGUGAGUAACACGUGGGUAACCCACCUCGAUGAUUGGGACAACCCGGGGAAACUCGGGCUAAUACCAAAUGUGCUCGUAGACCAUGAGGUCCAUGAGUAAAGAUAGCUUCGGCCUUCGCAUCGAGACGGGCCCGCGGCCCAUUAGCUUGUUGGUGAGGUAACGGCUCACCAAGGCGACGAUGGGUAGCUGGCCUGAGAGGACGAUCAGCCACACUGGGACUGAGACACGGCCCAGACUCCUACGGGAGGCAGCAGUGGGGAAUCUUGCGCAAUGCGCGAAAGCGUGACGCAGCAACGCCGCGUGGAGGAAGACGGUCUUCGGAUUGUAAACUCCUUUCAGUUGGGACGAAGCUUAACGGGUUAAUAGCCCGGUGAAGUGACGGUACUUUCAGAAGAAGCCCCGGCUAACUACGUGCCAGCAGCCGCGGUAAUACGUAGGGGGCUAGCGUUGUCCGGAAUCAUUGGGCGUAAAGCGCGUGUAGGCGGUCCGGUAAGUCCGCUGUGAAAGUCGGGGGCUCAACCCUCGAAUGCCGGUGGAUACUGUCGGGCUAGAGUGCGGAAGAGGCGAGUGGAAUUCCUGGUGUAGCGGUGAAAUGCGCAGAUAUCAGGAGGAACACCAAUUGCGAAGGCAGCUCGCUGGGACGUUACUGACGCUGAGACGCGAAAGCGUGGGGAGC
rnacentral:rRNA from 1 species